AUCUGUCUUCAGGGCGAGGGUUGUUUCCUCACCGGCAGUUAAAGUCUGCGAGCCUUUUUGGUUGAAUUGGUGAAAUUCCAAUACCGACAGUUAAAGUCUGGAUGAAAGAAGAUUUGA
rnacentral:ncRNA from 2 species